UGGGGAAUUUUGGACAAUGGGCGCAAGCCUGAUCCAGCAAUGCCGCGUGCAGGAUGAAGGCCUUCGGGUUGUAAACUGCUUUUGUACGGAGCGAAAAGCCUCUCUCUAAUACAGGGGGGUGAUGACGGUACCGUAAGAAUAAGCACCGGCUAACUACGUGCCAGCAGCCGCGGUAAUACGUAGGGUGCAAGCGUUAAUCGGAAUUACUGGGCGUAAAGCGUGCGCAGGCGGUUUUGUAAGACAGUGGUGAAAUCCCGGGCUCAACCUGGGAACUGCCAUUGUGACUGCAAGGCUGGAGUGCGGCAGAGGGGGAUGGAAUUCCGCGUGUAGCAGUGAAAUGCGUAGAUAUGCGGAGGAACACCGAUGGCGAAGGCAAUCCCCUGGGCCUGCACUGACGCUCAUGCACGAAAGCGUGGGGAGCAAAACAGGAUUAGAUACCCUGGUAGUCCNCGCCCUAAAACGAUGUCAACUGGUUGUUGGGGAUUUAUUUCUUCAGUAACGAAGCUAACGCGUAAGUUGACCGCCUGGGGGAGUACGGCCGC
rnacentral:rRNA from 1 species